rnacentral:lncRNA from 1 species
CCAGCGGGGGCGACGUGGUGGGGUCCAUUUGUAGGUUGUGGAGGAUUUGAUCUUUUGCUCUUGGAAAUAAAUCUUGCUGCUGCGCGCGCUCUCUCUCUGGGUGCAUGCUGCUUUUAAGAGCUGUGAUACUCACCAGGAAGGUCCGUGGUUUCAUUCUGGAAGUCAGCGAGACCAAGAACCCACCAGAAGGAACCAACUACAGACACACUGCUAUAUGGUCCAGCUAUGUACAAACUGAAUCAAGAUUCUAUGUACAUCAGAAUCAAGAGAGAGUGAGUUCUUGACAUCACGGAGCGGUCUACAUUCUAGUUCAUGCGGUGGACCUGCUGGGUGGCCUCAGGACCUGAAAUAAAACCAUACGUUGGCUCUCCUGAGUCUCCACCUUCUUGACUGCAGAUUUGGGACUUCUCAGCCUCCAUAAAUAUUUUCUUCAACUGCAAAGUGGGGAUCGUGGGGCAUAGAAGACAUCCUCGUUGGUUGUUGUGAAGAUUCAGUGAGAGAGUGACCAGUUCUUAAAGCAAUUCUCUGUCUUGAGUCAUGAAGAAUACAUUUGUUGGACUCCACUUUCCAUUACGAGAAAUACACAUUCCAUCAUCUGAACUACUGGACAAGCGCUUGCGGCUCUCAGACACACAAAUGGCCCCGUAUGAACAAUUUGGCCACCACCAUCUCUCUCGGUGCCAGAUUGCCUGUGGCAGGAGUUGUGGCUGACCCUAAGUCCUCAGACUGGGGCUCACGUCUAAGCCACAUUUGCUGUACUGGGCAUGCCAGGACAGCUGGUUCCAAAGUCAACUGCAUUCCCUGCCGAGGAGCCAGGGCUGAAGUCUUCAUCACAGCCUGGUUAUGGCUUAGGCAUUAUAAAUGAUGCUGUGCUGACAGCCAGGUGGACAGCCUGCCUAACUGGAUGAUGCUUCAUCUGUCCUGACAGGGACAGCCCUGCAAAUAGAAUCUGAGGGAUGGCAGACCUAUUGGAGUCAUCGUGUCCUUCCACUGAGUCUGGUGGGACUCUCUUCCACUCAUCUCAGACUGGAAGAUGCCUGCCUUUUUUCUUUCUUAUAAGUCUCCACAGAGAAAGGGAGCUCUCCCCAGGACACACUUUAUUUUUCUUUUGGCAGUGGUUAGUGCAGGGUUAAAAAGUUCUGGAGUCAGAUCUGUGUUCAAAUCUGGAUUGAGCCACUCACAAGCUGUGUGACCUUGGGCAAGUUACCAAACCUCUCUGAGCCUCAGUUCCCUUACUGUUAAAAUAAAAAAGAAGAAUGAUGACCAGCU